rnacentral:rRNA from 1 species
UACGUAGGGUCCGAGCGUUGUCCGGAAUUAUUGGGCGUAAAGGGCUCGUAGGCGGUUCGUCACGUCGGGAGUGAAAACUCGGAGCUUAACUCCGAGCCUGCUUCCGAUACGGGCAGACUAGAGGUAGGCAGGGGAGAGCGGAACUCCUGGUGUAGCGGUGGAAUGCGCAGAUAUCAGGAAGAACACCGGUGGCGAAGGCGGCUCUCUGGGCCUUACCUGACGCUGAGGAGCGAAAGCGUGGGUAGCGAGCAGG